GAUGAGAACAUAAUAAUAAAUCCAGGCCGAUUUGGAUUUCUGCAGUAAAGUGAUAAGCUUUAUGGCUCAUUGAGGAGAAUCAGAUCGGUAGUAAUGGCGAGGAUUUGGAGGCAGACCACGAGACAAUUGUAGUAAGUCGCCGGCGAGGGGAUAUGUUUUACAUAAAAUUGGGCCAGUUCUCAAUACUAUCAGCCCACAUAAUUGGUCCCUGUAAAGUCUGUGUCAAGUAACAAUGGUUUGACGUGGUCAUUUGGAGCUUAAUUAUUCUUUGAUUUUUUAAACGACGUGGCAUAGCUUAGAGAGCUUCAUAU
rnacentral:lncRNA from 1 species